rnacentral:rRNA from 1 species
UACGAAGGGGGCUAGCGUUGUUCGGAAUUACUGGGCGUAAAGCGCGUGUAGGCGGGUCUUUAAGUCAGGGGUGAAAUGCCAAGGCUCAACCUUGGAACUGCCCUUGAUACUGGAGACCUUGAGUCCGGGAGAGGUGAGUGGAAUUGCGAGUGUAGAGGUGAAAUUCGUAGAUAUUCGCAAGAACACCAGUGGCGAAGGCGGCUCACUGGCCCGGAACUGACGCUGAGACGCGAAAGCGUGGGGAGCAAACAGG